rnacentral:lncRNA from 1 species
UUCCUACAUCUAAACCUAUGCAUGUUAAUUACGAUAACUAGAAAAGGAAGCUUAUUCAUGUUGUUUCCCUUUGCUUGAAAUCCUGUCAAGUUGUUUCCUUUUCCUUCUGAUUGGUGAAUCACGUCAUAAUAUUGUUUUCUUCUACUUGAAUCACAUCGAGAACGACAUCUCCUUUUGGGCAGCUAUUGUUGUGUGCCUCCAAGCCGUAUUCGGUGAUAAUUGGCAGCCAUUGCCGG